GAAAGAUACCCAAUUUCAUCCAAAAAUGGACAAAUCUCAAGAAAUUAGGGAUUCAGGCUAGUGGUUUAGAUGGCCCAAUUCCUUAAGAGAUUGCUUCUUUGACAAAAAUGACUGACUUGAGAAUUAGUGAUUUAAAUGGAAUGGAAGCAACUUUUCCACAUCUUAAUAAUAUGACAAACAUGAAUAGAUUGUAAGUUGAG